rnacentral:rRNA from 1 species
CGCAAGCCUGACGGAGCAACGCCGCGUGAGGGAGGAAGGCCUGUGGGUUGUAAACCUCUUUUCUCAAGGAAGAAGUUCUGACGGUACUUGAGGAAUCAGCAUCGGCUAACUCCGUGCCAGCAGCCGCGGUAAGACGGAGGAUGCAAGCGUUAUCCGGAAUUAUUGGGCGUAAAGCGUCCGUAGGUGGCUUAGAAAGUCAGUUGUUAAAGCCCACAGCUCAACUGUGGAUCGGCAAUUGAAACUACUAGGCUUGAGUGUGGUAGGGGUAGAGGGAAUUCCUAGUGUAGCGGUGAAAUGCGUAGAUAUUAGGAAGAACACCAGUGGCGAAGGCGCUCUACUGGGCCAUAACUGACACUGAUGGACGAAAGCUAGGGGAGCG